rnacentral:rRNA from 1 species
UACGUAGGGGGCUAGCGUUGUCCGGAAUCAUUGGGCGUAAAGCGCGUGUAGGCGGUCCGGUAAGUCCGCUGUGAAAGUCGGGGGCUCAACCCUCGGAUGCCGGCGGAUACUGUCGGGCUAGAGUCCGGAAGAGGCAAGUGGAAUUCCCGGUGUAGCGGUGAAAUGCGCAGAUAUCGGGAGGAACACCUAUGGCGAAGGCAGCUUGCUGGGACGGUACUGACGCUGAGACGCGAAAGCGUGGGGAGCAAACAGG